GCAGCUCAGAGCAGUGGUUUAAUACACGUUGAUGACUUACGAACGAGUCCACGACAGGUAAAGCAGCUUACUCCACUUUGUGAAAGGUUCUUUGUUCAGCGAUCAUAUUGUACUAAACUGCAAAGUUUUUUAGAGAUUUUUCUUCAUGGCCUUAUAGAGCACUGUCAAGAUGUCACGUGUCGGAUCCAUAGACGAAUUACUCGUCCGUUUGCGGAAGUCUUCUGCAGAAGAAUCCGGAAUACACUCAGCGAUCCGGGCUGUAGCUAUGGCGAAAGACGAUGAAGGAACAACCGUAGAAGGAGUCUACACUACCGCUACACCUGAGGAAAAUAUUGGCGAGAAGAUGCUCCAUGAAAUUAUGGAUAAAACACACCUACCAGCUUACGUGAUUAUUCUGAUUGUGAUUGGGGUUUCAAUUCUGUCUCUAUGUGUUUGUUACUGCUGCAUCAAACGGUGGUGUCGCAAAAGGAAAAAGGACAGCAAGAAAGGACUGAAGGGGGUGGUUGAUCUAAAGGGCGUUCAAAUUUUGGGAAAUGCACACAAAGAAAAGGUACAGCCAGACAUGGAGGAACUUCCAACCAACAUGGAGGUUAAUGAAGGACAAGACGAAGAAAGUGCUAAGUCAGAGGUUAAACUAGGUCGUCUUCAGUAUAAGCUCGACUACGACUUCAGUACCAAUAAUCUGGCAGUAACAGUGAUCCAGGCCGAGGAUCUUCCUGGUAUGGACUUGUCUGGUACAUCGGAUCCGUAUGUCAAGAUUUAUCUGUUACCGGACAAAAAGAAAAAAUACGAGACCAAAGUUCACCGGAAGACAUUAAAUCCAGUUUUUAACGAAACCUUCAACUUUAAGAUCCCUUACUCUGAAAUAACCGCUAAAACAUUAGUAUUUGCUGUCUUUGAUUUUGAUCGAUUCUCGAAACACGACCAAAUAGGUGAGAUUAAACUCUCGUUGAGUUCGGUAGAUUUGGCUCAAACUAUUGAAGAGUGGAAAGAACUAACCAGUGUAGAAGGAGACCAGGGGCAGGAAAAUAAGCUAGGGGACAUAUGUUUCUCUCUACGCUAUGUGCCCACAGCUGGAAAACUAACAGUUGUUAUUCUCGAAGCCAAAAAUCUAAAGAAAAUGGACGUUGGUGGUUUGUCAGAUCCUUAUGUGAAGAUUAGUAUCCACCAAGGAAGUCGACGCUUGAAGAAAAAGAAAACGACAAUCAAGAAACGGACCCUUAACCCAUACUACAAUGAAUCUUUCACUUUCCAGGUCUCUUUUGAACAGAUUCAGAAAGUCCACCUAGUAGUAACAGUAGUGGAUUACGACCGUAUUGGAACUUCUGAACCAAUAGGAAAAGUUGUCCUGGGAUGUAACGCAACUGGGACUGAGCUACGUCAUUGGAUGGAUAUGUUGUCAUCUCCACGUCGUCCAAUUGCCCAAUGGCAUUCAUUGAAGGAGCCAGUGGAUGGAGGAGAAAAUUGAAAGUAAACGAUUACAAACAAAACAAGAGUUUGCCAUAUGGAAGAAGAUGAUGUUUGAAAGCAUAUAUAUAUAUAUAUGCAUAACAAAGCCUCAAUGGACUAUCUGCCGUGUACACCGCGGGGAACCAAACUCCGGAUUUUGGUGUUGUAAGUCCGUUGGCUUACCGCUUUCCCACCGGGAACAUCACAUGUUAAACUCUCAUUCGAAGUUGUUUUCUGUUAAAAACAUUUUAAUACCGAGAAUUUCGUUUUUGCAAUUUGAACUAAAUGGUAAUUUGCUUAUUUUUCUUCACUUGAUAAAAACAAAUAUCUGAAACACCUUAGCUUAACCACACCCAAUUAAAUUUUGAUAUGGAAUUUCAAAAUUGAUAUGCAGUGCCAGGAAUGCAUAGAUUCAAUAUUUAUAUGAAGAGUUAACCGUAAUGCAGUUGCCAUGUAGAACGUAAUAAAUGAGAGAAUGAGAACUUAGUUUCUGUUUCAAUGGGUAAACACGGCAGCCGGAGAAAUCCGAAGUGAAUAAAAGCCAUCGAUUUCCACCUGUUUUACACUUCUCCACUGAUUUUGAAAAGAAGAAAACCAUUGUUAAAAUUCAUAAUACGGUGUCUUCAUGAAUUAUAUUAAGUAAACUAUCUCGUGAACCCUUUAACGAUAUAAGCAAGAAAGCCAUGUCAUAAAAUA
rnacentral:misc_RNA from 1 species